rnacentral:lncRNA from 1 species
AUUCCAUAUAAGACACUAAGAUUUCAGAGAAAGUAUAAAGAGACAAUGUUAUUGCAAAAUAGAAGUUUAAUAAAAUGGCUAAUAUAGAUAACAAAAAAAAAAAUUAAGCUUUCAAAUACAUCAUUAGUAUCACUUUCAACCAAAAAUCAUUAAAAAAACCCAAGGAUGCGAUAAAGAUUCAGGUUUCUUUGUACACAAUCUUGACCUUGAACAUGAGUGCAUCUGCAAAGAGAGAUGUGCAUAAACAUACAUGGCUAUUUCCAUCAAGGUCGACAACUGAAAAUACAGGUACAUAUUGCACACGCUAUAACCAAGAAUAUUGUUUAUAAUAGAUACAUACCUGAUGAAGGAUAACACAGAUUAAUAGGAGGCAACAUAUCAGACCAAAUGGCUUUACAUUGAAGCCGUAAUCCUAAUCAGUUUGCAUCCACCUUUCGGGUCACUGGAAACUACUUCUUAUAACUGAAACCAAUAUAGGGAGAUGGAUGUUGGGACAUACCACAUACAACAAGGAAGAUAUAUACCAUCAUAAUCUUGUGUAUCAUCUUCCCCUUUUGCUAGGUCUCCAUAAUCUGUUUAUUUAUCGUAUAAUUCAUAUCUCACCUGAAAGUCCAAUUAAAGAGAUUUCCAAAGAAAAUACAUUAGAAAAAGUGAAAAUGAAUGUAAGAACACAAAAUAAACUCUAAAAUAAAUUGUAUACCCAGUUAGCUAGGGUUUGACCAAGAUUUUUUGAUCACCAAAUUCCAAGUAUUCUUCUUCAUUUAAGUUUACUAUUCCGUGGUUACAUAUCUGGAUUGAAGCAUUUAAAAAAGUAGUAACAGUCAUGUGAACUAUUGAAAACAGAAGGAGACGGGCAGUAGGGUUUGGGAAAAGGGUAGCCAUGGAUGACAUGACAUCGAUCAGUAAUAAAGAAGCCAUAGGAAGGGUGAGACUAUGUAGAUAUGAGAAUUUUUCAAUAUUUGGGCUAAUAAAAGGGAAAGUGAAGGUUAUAGGAGAAUGAACCAUCAAAACUACAGAAUAAAAGUUAAAAGCAGCCAAUCAUAUAAAUUUAACGUGGGAAAUGGUUAAGACAGAAGAAAAACAUACCUUGUAGCUCUCGAACACAAAGAGGAAGUCAGUGAUAAAGCCACGAAGCAGAUGAACAAAACCUAUAUACCGUGAAAACCUAAAUAAAAAACAAGCACGCAUAGAUCGGUAAAACUUAAAUCGCUCAAACAAGGGCCCUAAUUUCAACUAAGAUGAUAAAGAUUAGAUUUUGGAGAAGGGAAAAGGUGAUCACCUCGAACCAAGAUUAGUGGGUGCGGAUUCAUCGUUUCCAGAGACCGUGGGCGUGAUUUCUUCGUUGUCAUAGACGAUUGUGGUCUUCCAAUAAGGAAUAAAGAGAAAACAUGAAGAUUUGACUGAUGUAGGGCAUAGAAGGUAGGGAAGAUGGAGCGGUGGGUAAUGGGAGAGAAAUUAGGGAAGAUUGGACUGAUAUUGUUGGCGAAUAGUAUUAUUACCAUAUAAAUUUCAAUACGGUUUUCUUGAAGCAUUUUAAGAUUGUAC